GACGAACGCUGGCGGCGUGCCUAAUACAUGCAAGUCGAGCGAGCGGAACCAACAGAUUUACUUCGGUAAUGACGUUGGGAAAGCGAGCGGCGGAUGGGUGAGUAACACGUGGGGAACCUGCCCCUAAGUCUGGGAUACCAUUUGGAAACUGGUGCUAAUACCGGAUAGUAAAGCAGAUCGCAUGAUCAGCUUUUGAAAGGCGGCGUAAGCUGUCGCUAAGGGAUGGCCCCGCGGUGCAUUAGAUAGUUGGUAAGGUAACGGCUUACCAAGUCGACGAUCAGUAGCCGGACUGAGAGGUUGAACGGCCACAUUGGGACUGAGAUACGGCCCAG
rnacentral:rRNA from 1 species